AUGCCAAUAUUUGGGACAUCCCAUAAACGCCCCUUUCGCUAACAACAACUGUCUUUUCCACAGUUCGUAGUUUGAUAGUAGGCGGGCGGAAAU